UACGAACUGUGCAAACGUUAUUCGGAAUCACUGGGCUUAAAGGGUGCGUAGGCGGCCAUUUAAGUAGGGUGUGAAAGCUCCCGGCUCAACCGGGGAAUUGCGUCCUAAACUGGAUGGCUGGAGUGAGAUAGAGGUGUGUGGAACUUCUGGUGGAGCGGUGAAAUGUGUUGAUAUCGGAAGGAACACCGGUGGCGAAAGCGACACACUGGAUCUUAACUGACGCUGAGGCACGAAAGCCAGGGGAGCGAACGGG
rnacentral:rRNA from 1 species